UCAACGAGGAUGGGAAGACGGUGGACCUGGCACCCAACUUUUACUCUGCCCUGCUGCCGCAGCUCACCGAGCUGUUGACGCCUGCCGCCGACGCUCUCAACGAGUUCCUUCGCCGGGGAGGUACCAUC
rnacentral:ribozyme from 1 species